UACAGAGGGGGCAAGCGUUAUUCGGAAUUAUUGGGCGUAAAGGGCGCGUAGGCGGCGAUUCAAGUGACGGGUGAAAGCCCUCGGCUUAACCGAGGAACUGCCUGUCAGACUGUAAGGCUUGAGACCGGGAGAGGUGAGUGGAAUUCCCAGUGUAGCGGUGAAAUGCGUAGAUAUUGGGAGGAACACCAGUGGCGAAGGCGGCUCACUGGACCGGAACUGACGCUGAGGCGCGAAAGCGUGGGGAGCAAACAGG
rnacentral:rRNA from 1 species